rnacentral:ncRNA from 1 species
UUUCCCUUAGGAUAGCUGGAGCCCAAUGGUGAUUUGUAUCAGGUAAAACCAAUGAUUAGAGGCAUCAGGGGCGCAAUGCCCUCGACCUAUUCUCAAACGUUUAAUAGGUAGGAUGGUGUGGCUGCUUUGUUGUCGAGAUCACAUUUUUUUACGCAAAUGAGUUCUU